rnacentral:lncRNA from 1 species
UUCCAUCUAUUUCCAAGUUAAUGUUACUAUGUAUUAUAAUUCAUUGAUACAAGGAGGAGAAACGAAAGGGAACUUUGGCUAAAAGAGUAACAGCACACCCAAGCCAUGUGCUUCCUUCUCGAAUGAUUAUAAAUGACGACCCAACACUGACAUCGCUGUAGAAGAACCCUAAAAAAAGAAAAUUAUACACAUUGGAUAUUAUUUCAAAUUUUAUCACACACACAAAAUAAAGUAAAAUACCUGAGGCAAGUACUUAUGCGAGUGUUGGAGCAAAUGUGACGCCAUAUUUCGACUAAAUCUUACUUGCAGUCGAAUUCAAAUGAUGAAUAUCGUUGAUCAUCAUCAA